rnacentral:tRNA from 1 species
GAGCAGCCGCCGGAUGAACGGAUGCCAUUGAUGUUGGCAAAUAGGAGGGGUGUACCCUUGCUGCUUU